rnacentral:rRNA from 1 species
UUAAAUUAGAAUACAUUAACUAGUUUAAUUACCCGAAAUAGGUAGAGCUAAUUAAAGUUAGAGUUUUAGUUCUGUAUAGCAUUGAUGUUGCAUAAUUAUAAAUUAAAUAUUAAUUAGGGGUGAAAGGCCAAUCAAUACCUAUAGAUAUCUGGAUAAGCUUAAAAAAUAUUUAGUAUUAGAGUCAAAUAUAAAAUUUUAAGGUUUUAUAUACAAAAAAUAAGGUAUGGAAAAAGUAUUGUUAAUAAAUUAACCUUUUAUUGCUUGCAGUAUAAUUAAAUUUAUCUACGCCCAAAUUUAAGGUCUUAAGGUUUUACUUCAUUUUAUUAUAUAUGAAGUUGAUUUUGUUUAAAUUAGUAAUAGUAUAUAAAAUAUUUUAAAGGAACUCGGCAAAUCUAAAUCUCAACUGUUUAUCAAAAACAUAGCUAGAUUAUUUUACCUAGUUCUUUCUGCCCGGUGGAAUAGUUUUAACGGCCGCAGUACACUGACUGUGCAAAGGUAGCAUAAUAAUUUGACUUUUAAUUGAAGUCUAGUAUGAAAGGGAACAUGGGAUAAGACUGUCUCUCAUUUAUUUUAUUAAUUUGCUUCAGAAAGUGAAAAGACUUUCGCAGCUUAAAAGACGAGAAGACCCUAUGAAUUUUUAUAAAAAAUGAUUACUCAUUUAUAUUUUUGUUGGGGCAACAAAUUGACACAGCAUUUAUCUAAUGCCAUGACAAAUUCAUUUUGUACAAUACACCGAAUUUUAUUAAUAAAAGUUAAAUUACUAUAGGGAUAACAGCAUAAUUUUACAAACUAGAUUGUGACCUCGAUGUUGGACUAGGAAACAAUUGAGGUAGCACUUUAAUUGUAUAGUUCUGUUCGAACAUUUCCU